rnacentral:rRNA from 1 species
UACGAAGGGUGCAAACGUUGCUCGGAAUUAUUGGGCGUAAAGCGCACGUAGGCGGCUUAGCAAGUCGGAAGUGAAAUCCCACGGCUCAACCAUGGAAGUGCUUUCGAAACUGCUGAGCUUGAGUACAAAGAGGAUCGCGGAAUUCCCGGUGUAGAGGUGAAAUUCGUAGAUAUCGGGAGGAACACCAGUGGCGAAGGCGGCGAUCUGGUUGAUACGUGACGCUGAGGUGCGAAAGCGUGGGGGAGCAACAGG